rnacentral:misc_RNA from 1 species
GUGAAUCAUCAAAUCUUUGAACGCAAAUUGCACUCUCCGGUUUUCCGGGAGAGUAUGCCUGUUUGAGGGUCAGCCUAAAAAAAAUCGACAUUGUUGCUGUUAUUUAAUGGUGACUUUCGUCGGAGAUUGGGUUAUCUUAAACCUUUUUUUUUUUUUGUUUAAGCGACUUUAAAUUUUUUUUCCCGAUUCCAUUAACAUUUCUAAAGUUUUUAUUUUUUUUUAUGUUUAGGUUUUUUCUU